rnacentral:rRNA from 1 species
CGGCGGACGGGUGAGUAACGCGUGGGUAACCUGCCUCAUAUAGGGGGAUAACAGUUGGAAACGGCUGCUAAUACCGCAUAAGCGCACAGUACCGCAUGGUACGGUGUGAAAAACUCCGGUGGUAUGAGAUGGACCCGCGUCUGAUUAGGUAGUUGGUGGGGUAACGGCCUACCAAGCCGACGAUCAGUAGCCGACCUGAGAGGGUGACCGGCCACAUUGGGACUGAGACACGGCCCAA